rnacentral:rRNA from 1 species
AGCGAACGCUGGCGGCAGGCCUAACACAAGCAAGUCGAACGAACCUUUCGGGGUUAGUGGCGGACGGGUGAGUAACACGUGGGAACGUGCCUUUAGGUUCGGAAUAACUCAGGGAAACUUGUGCUAAUACCGAAUGUGCCCUUCGGGGGAAAGAUUUAUCGCCUUUAGAGCGGCCCGCGUCUGAUUAGCUAGUUGGUUGAGGUAAUGGCUCACCAAGGCGACGAUCAGUAGCUGGUCUGAGAGGAUGAUCAGCCACAUUGGGACUGAGACACGGCCCAAACUCCUACGGGAGGCAGCAGUGGGGAAUCUUGCGCAAUGGGCGAAAGCCUGACGCAGCCAUGCCGCGUGAAUGAUGAAGGUCUUAGGAUUGUAAAAUUCUUUCACCGGGGACGAUAAUGACGGUACCCGGAGAAGAAGCCCCGGCUAACUUCGUG